rnacentral:rRNA from 1 species
AUUGAACGCUGGCGGCAGGCUUAACACAUGCAAGUCGAGCGAGUGGCGGACGGGUGAGUAAUGUCUGGGAAACUGCCUGCUGGCGGGGGAUAACUACUGGAAACGGUAGCUAAUACCGCAUACCAUCAGAUGUGCCCAGAUGGGAUUAGCUAGUAGGUGGGGUAAUGGCUCACCUAGGCGACUAUCCCUAGCUGGUCUGAGAGGAUGACCAGCCAAACUGGAACGUAGAAACGGUCCAGACCCCUCCGGAAGGCAGAAGUGGGGAAUUGUGCACAAUGGGCGCAAGCCUGAUGCAGCCAGGCGGCGUGGGUGAAGAAGGUCUUCGGGUUGUAAAGCACUUUCAGCGAGGAGGCGUUACUCGCAGAAGAAGCACCGGCUAACUCCGUGCCAGCAGCCGCGGUAAUUC